rnacentral:rRNA from 1 species
UACGUAGGGGGCAAGCGUUAUCCGGAUUUACUGGGUGUAAAGGGGGCGCAGGCGGCACGGCAAGCCUGAUGUGAAAGCCCGCGGCCCAACCGCGGGACUGCAUUGGGAACUACCGGGCUGGAGUGCCGGAGAGGUAGGCGGAAUUCCUAGUGUAGCGGUGAAAUGCGUAGAUAUUAGGAGGAACACCAGUGGCGAAGGCGGCCUACUGGACGGUGACUGACGCUGAGGCUCGAAAGCGUGGGGAGCAAACAGG